AGUAGAUCACCAAGAGAGCGUAACUUCUGUGCUAGGUCAUGGGAGUUCAGCACAGAGUUGUACAGUAGAAAGAGCAUGCCUGCAGUCUCUUCACGACAUCAGACUGCUGUAAGUCAGCCAUGCACAUGGCCCUGAAGGGAUAUCUACAAGUGCACAUGUCAGCAAGUGUUCGUGGGAAGUAAGUGACUGGUACCCUUGCCCUCCAGAGACCGAGUGCCUUAUUUCUUCGACAUGACUUUCACCGUCCUGAAGUCUGGACCCUCCUAAGGUGCCGAAAUCCACUCAGUCGCUUUCACACACCCACAGAAAAUAAUGGCUUGACCUGCCUGUGGCCAGAUCUGACAUGCCCUGCUGUGGUGGGAAAAUUAAUUCACCUCACUACACCGCAGUCACCCUCAGCUGAGUCCUGCAAUUAUUUCAUUAUGAUCUAA
rnacentral:lncRNA from 1 species